rnacentral:misc_RNA from 1 species
CUGGUGGGGUGUGUUAGAUGACUCUUCAAUGCUAGUUUAUUGGUAGACUCAAUCAAUUUUUUCCUGAUUCAGUAAUUCUUGUCUUGAUGUGUGGAUAGUUUCAACUGGUCUGGAAAAAGAUCUACGUAAAAUAGCUAUAGGGGCAAAAAUGAUGGAAUGGAUUGAAAUUCAAGUUUGUGCCGUUGAUUUAUUUCUUAUAGGUUAUGUCAUUGCAGCUACAUUUUUCCCCUCAUUGCUGUUGAAUUUCCUAGUCCUAUAAAAAAUUUUCUUGUAGAUAUGAACUACUUUGAAUGCUUUGUUAAGUUGUAUGGUCUCUGUUCUCACCUAUGAGGAAAACAAAGUAUAUAGAAACACUGAUUGAUUUGAACAUUGUUUCCUUCCCUUUUCUUACUGAAAAAAGAAAAAGGACAUCCAUGGAUGUUUCAUUUUGGUGUAUAAGGAUUAGAAACUCAUUACUGCAUACUCCGGAUUCUUAAUUCUUGUUCCAUUAGAGCUUUAUGGGCCAAGGUAGGCUUAGUUAUUCUUUGAGUAACUCUGGAAAAAUUUACCAUGUUUUCCUGCACUAGUGUAUGCUUCCCCAUUUGAGAUGAAAUUAAAUAUACAAGUAUGUGCCUUCUAGAGGCUUAAAUGUUCCUUUUUGGGCAUAUAUUAUUAGACCGCUGUGCAUGUGAAAGUAGAAAUAAUAAAUAUUAUGUUUGCUGCAGCAUUAAUUACUCCAUGGUCUUAUAUAGGAUUCCCUAUUAUUUUGAAUCCUUGUAUAACUAUACUGGAUUUGCAGCUUUUGGAAGAACUUAACAUGGGAGGAGUUGGAGCAGAUGAUGACAAAGAAUGUGAUAGAACCUCGCUUGGAAAAUCACUCAGCUUUUUCAGAUCGUCAUUCUUGCGACCUCUUCUAAAAUCUUGCAAGGAAGAGAUGGAGAGUUUACAUAAUGCGAAACUGCAGCAGUCAAAGAAUUCACUGAGUUGGUAAAUGCUUUCCCAAGUCAUUUCAUCUUGUAUGGAGAAGGUCCUGUUGCAUGUUGCUCUGCCCAACGAUACCAAACAGUAUAUAUAAUUAUGUUGCAGUUU